GCCUGGAGAGCUCAGUUGGUAGAGCAUCAGACUUUUAAUCUGAGGGUCCAGGGUUCAAAUACCUGCCCAGGGACG